ensembl:lncRNA
GCGUCACGUGCCGGGGAGGCCUCUGACGUAUAACGACGAGGAGAACCACACUAAUCAGAAGAGCGGCGGGGACCCGGAGCGGGCCCCCCGCCUAUUUCACAGAUGCGAAGACUGAGGUUUGGAGGGGGCUUCAACCCCAUGACCUAAUUGCCUCUCAUCCUGAAACUGCUUUUAUGCCGGGACACUCUCACCUGGAGCCAUAACAGCAUCUUUCUCCCAUUGCUGAGUUCCUUGGACCCGUGGAAAUGAGCAGCAUCUGGCACAGGCUCUCUCCCGAAUUUCUCUCCACCCCCACCCGCGGCAGGACCCCCCCCCUCCCCGCCGGAGACUCCCCGAAAUGCCAGGUCCCCCCGGCGGGGUCACAGCCGAGAUCGCGCAAACGCUGCCGGGCAGCUGGGGGAGUCCCCCGGGCCAGCACACGUCCUUUCCCGAAGGUGACUCUGGGUGCUGUGGCAAUACUGAGCACGUGGACAGAAAUGGGGGCGUUUCCUCCCGGCCCGUGGCCGACCUCUGUGCAGACCUCCACCUUCGGCUUCCCGGCCUCGCCCACAAUGAACCCUGCCGUCAUGAGAGUCGGCUCUUUGACAUCUGUUACAAAAUGCAAACCCCGGCGGCCCGAGUCCCCAGUCUGUGGCGACCUCUGAAGCCCUGCCUUCCGGAGCCGGGCUCCUCCGUGCCCCAGGUGAGCUGCUUCUGCUGAAAACUUCCCGGCUCCGCAGCGAUCUGCUCCUGGGCAGGGAGUUCUUUUCAGAGCUGGGGCAGCUGCCUGUGUGGGACAGGAAGCCCGCCUUUGGGUGGAGACCUGGGAGAGCCACCUGGGUCAGGACUGGAGCUGCUGGCUCAGUUUCUUACUUAAGCCCUAGCAAGGAACACAAAGACGGGACCCCCCUUACUAAGUAGAAUUGACCGUUAAUGUUCCUAAUGUGCUGUUUUUCAACCCAAAUCUUCUGACCAGGAAUGAUACGACUUUCAAAAAAAGAUGCCAACAGAUCAUGAAGAACCCUGUGGCCCCAGUCACAAGUCGUUUUGCCUAAAUGGGGGGAUUUGUUAUGUGAUACCCACUAUUCCCAGCCCAUUUUGUAGAUGUAUUGAGAAUUAUACAGGAGCCCGGUGUGAAGAGGUCUACCUUCCUAGCACCAAGACCCAAAGUGAGAGUGAGCCGUUUGCAGCUUUGUUGACCGUUGCCCUGCUCCUGGGAGUACUGACCCUUGGAGCUGUCUACUUCCUUUGCAGGAAAGGCCACCUCCAAAGGGCUAGCUCAGCCCAGUAUGACGUUGGCCUGGUAGAGACCAGCAGCAUCAACAUUUACAACAAACAUGGAGAAAACUGAAGAAGCACCAGCCAAGUGAACCAAGAUAUUACAUCCAAGCUGCAGGGGAAAUAAAGGAAGCCACAGAAGGGGUUUCAUCAAGGCAGAUCCUGAGCCAAUCUGCAAGUGCUUCAAAAACAAGAGCUGACUGCAUCUAGUCUUCUGCUUUUCUUCAAGUGUUUGUGACCACGUGUAUCCAUCUGUAAAAAUGACACUUCACUGCAACAUUUUAGCCAAGGACAUCUGGUGGACACCCAAACCCACAUAAAUUCAGUUUUAUCCUUCUGGAAGUUUUCUUCAGGUUUCCCGCCACCUUGCCCUCAGCAUCGGUCAUAACUUGCUUUCUGUACUGUAUCCCUUUUCAUUAUGCUGGAUGGCCUAAAUUCAGAUUUCUGAUCUUACUGCAAGUUCAAGCUGAGACUCAAGAGGAUUGGGAGGAAGGGAAGACUCCCAUCUAUUAAGAGUCACUUAGAGGGCUUGGUCUUUGGGGGAGGGGAGUAAUGGUAGAAAAUUCCCAUUUGCCUAAUAACUCAUUUCUCCAAUUCAUUGUUUCUAAAUAUUUUCUUUAGUGCAGCUCUUGGAAACAGGACAUACCUGUAGCCCCAUUUGACAGAGGGCUCAGUGUUGACUUGUCCAAGACCAUAUGCAGUUAAUGACAAAGCAAGGACUUAAAGCUCUUUUCUGAUUCCGAGUUCAGGGCUCUGACUGCUCCCUGAUAGGGCUUUGGAUGAUGGUGUUAUGGAGGUCCCGUCAACGAGGCUAUAGUGUAAUCAGGUCAUGAAAAACAAUUCAACCCAGUAGCCUUUGGGAAGAAAACCCUCAAGUGAAAAAGUAGCUGAAUGGAUGAGUCUUAAGUAACCAACAGCCCAACAGAACAGCCGGCACCGUGGGAGCCCGAGGCUUCACUCCUGCAAAAAGUAUUCAGUGAUGUCCUCGCUUUGCCUUCUUCACAUGCUCUAUCCAUGGGUACGAUGCCAUUUUGGCUUCUGAUUUCAAAAGCGACAUAGGCUUGGGCUAAACCUAAGCCCAAGGUUCCUGGAGACCUUCCAAACCCACCUCAUUUGACAGAUGGGGCCAAUAAAAACAGUUCAUUCGUUAUGGCCAGGUUCAAAAUGGGGCAGAAGGUGUAACUAUGACUAGUAUGAGUCACACAGAGCUGAUUCUCAAGCCCUCUGAUCUGGAGUCCAGGGCUCUUGUCACCUCCUCUGUCUUCUUUCUCUAUUUGUCUGCAAUUUCUUAACAUGUACUCUCUUGUGAUAAGUGGUGUCUUAUUUUUUAGCUGAGACCAUAGUAGUUAUUCCUUUAUUGGUGGUCUUUCUUAUCUAAACUAAUCCUAGCUUGAAACCAAAUGUUACAUAACCAUUGAACUCCAGGGACAAUAUCUCUCAGAAGCAGAUGGACAAUGAGAACAUUCUCCAGAAAGCUCAUUUUCUUUUCAACUCAGCUUCUUUAACAAUCCUUUUGGCCUUGAGACAAGAUUGUAAACAUAAGAUGUUUGAUCUCAGAUGGAAAAGAAUCCUCUGAAUAAUCCUACUGGAACAGCGGAAUGAAGAUCCCUUGGGAAAUGCCCCCAAACUCUUCAUAUGUGCUGAUUUGUAUAAAUAUAAUGACCAAUUCAAUUCUUGGCCUUAUU